GGAGGCACUGAACUGUUUGGCUGAGUCUUUCUUUCAGCUGGACAUCUCUACAUUCAGCAGGUCCCAGAGCUGCCCACAUCAUGUCCUGGGCACCCUCCCGGGACCUGUCCAUUGUGCUGCCACUCCUGUGGUCUAUUCUUCUCUUCCCUUCCCAAUGGAGUUGUACUCAUCUUCCUCUCUUGUUCCUACUUCUCCCUGGACACCCGACUACUCGUGAGCACUCCUCUCGGAUGUACUGGCCUUGUAGCAGAGAUUGCUGUGAGCUGCUCCUGACGGGACUGUGUUGCAGCCUCCCGAGGUCCAAGUGUUGGGUUCACAACCUCAGUUUGGAAGAGGUCAUCUGUUGCCUUUGGCCCUUGGCAGGGUCCCAGACCUCAGAGGAGGCCAGGAGGAGCCAACGGCCCUAGGAAGGACGGGAGGCAAGAACUGGAUGAAGGAACAAAUCGUGGCUCAUUUUAAGAGCUGAAACAAUGCCAGCAUGUAGCAAAGUCCAGAGGAGUAGAGAGAGAAACGGAGCGGAAAUUCCCAUUCACAAGGACUAAGCAACCUGCGAGGCUGGGAGUCCCAGUGUCCUGGAAAGGCACCUGUGGAAGGUUUGGUGGAGCCUUCAAGAGGCAGGGGACUAGGGGUCCUUAGGUCACUUGGGGCCUGCCCUUGGGGGGUGAGAGACCGCAGCCUCUUGCUCACUCUCUCUGUUGGCUUCCUGGUUUUGAGAUGUGCAGUGUUUCACUCCCUCCCUCCUACCAUGAUGUGCUGCCUCCCCAGAAGGCCUCCAAUCUGGACUGGAAACCCCAAAACAGUGAGCCAAAAAACACUUUUUAUUUUUACAAGUCAAUUACUUCAGCAAUUUUGUUAUAGAGAUGGAAAGCUGACUCUCAGAUAAUCCUUUAAAGAGGGUUAAGUUUCUUCCAAUACUCUAGGUAUCAUAAAUGUAUAUA
rnacentral:lncRNA from 1 species